UGCGUUCCUCGGAAGGGAAAGUGGUGGGUAUCGACGCUUCGUGCCGUGAACGCAUUUCACAGCUUAAGAGAAGAUUAGCCAACCCUCUCGUAACGAUAGGAUUUGACCAUUGAGGGGAGAUUACCGGCGCUGGCCGAGCCAUUCGGCGCGGAUCCAGCUUUAAGCGUGUUACACAAUUACGUUCUGCCAGUGUCUGGAACCGCACGGUCGA